rnacentral:rRNA from 1 species
UAGUCCACGCCGUAAACGAUGAGAACUAGAUGUUGGGAGGGUUUGCCUUUCGGUGUCGUAGCUAACGCGUUAAGUUCUCCGCCUGGGGAGUACGCCGGCAACGGUAAAACUCAAAGGAAUUGACGGGGACCCGCACAAGCGGUGGAGCAUGUGGUUUAAUUCGAUGCAACGCGAAGAACCUUACCUGCCCUUGACAUACUCGGAACUUUCCAGAGAUGGAUUGGUGCCUUCGGGAGCCGAGAUACAGGUGCUGCAUGGCUGUCGUCAGCUCGUGUCGUGAGGUGUUGGGUUAAGUCCCGCAACGAGCGCAACCCUUGUCCUUAGUUGCCAGCACGUAAUGGUGGGAACUCUAGGGAGACUGCCGGUGACAAACCGGAGGAAGGUGGGGACGACGUCAAGUCAUCAUGGCCCUUAUGCCUAGGGCUACACACGUGCUACAAUGGCAGGUACAGAGGGUUGCGAAGGGGUGACCUGGAGCUAAUCUCAGAAAGCCUGUCCCAGUUCGGAUCGGAGUCUGCAAC